CGCUGGCGGCGUGCCUAAUACACGCAAGUCGAGCGCGGGAAGCGGACAAUCACCCUUCGGGGUGUGCGUCCGUGGAACGAGCGGCGGAUGGGUGAGUAUCACGUGGGCAACCUGCCUGUAAGAUUGGGAUAACUCGCGGAAACGUGAGCUAAUACCGAAUGAAGUCUUUCACCGCCUGGUGAAAGGAUGAAAGAUGGCUCUUGAGCUAUCACUUACAGAUAGGCCCGCGGCGCAUUAGCUAGUUGGUGGGGUAAAGGCCUACCAAGGCGACGAUGCGUAGCCGACCUGAGAGGGUGAUCGGCCAUACUGGGACUGAGACACGGCCCAGACUCCUACGGGAGGCAGCAGUAGGGAAUCUUCCGCAAUGGACGAAAGUCUGACGGAGCAACGCCGCGUGAAGUGAUGAAGGUCUUCGGAUCGUAAAACUCUGUUGUCAGGGAAGAACAAGUUGUGUUCUAACAGGACAUGACCUUGACGGUACCUGACCAGAAAGCCCCGGCUAACUACGUGCCAGCCGCGGC
rnacentral:rRNA from 1 species